GAUGAACGCUGGCGGCGUGCCUAAUACAUGCAAGUCGAGCGAACAGAUAAGGAGCUUGCUCCUUUGACGUUAGCGGCGGACGGGUGAGUAACACGUGGGUAACCUACCUAUAAGACUGGGAUAACUUCGGGAAACCGGAGCUAAUACCGGAUAACAUUUGGAACCGCAUGGUUCUAAAGUGAAAGAUGGUUUUGCUAUCACUUAUAGAUGGACCCGCGCCGUAUUAGCUAGUUGGUAAGGUAACGGCUUACCAAGGCGACGAUACGUAGCCGACCUGAGAGGGUGAUCAGCCACACUGGAACUGAGACACGGUCCAGACUCCUACGGGAGGCAGCAGUAGGGAAUCUUCCGCAAUGGGCGAAAGCCUGACGGAGCAACGCCGCGUGAGUGAUGAAGGGUUUCGGCUCGUAAAACUCUGUUAUUAGGGAAGAACAAAUGUGUAAGUAACUGUGCACGUCUUGACGGUACCUAAUCAGAAAGCCACGGCUAACUACGUG
rnacentral:rRNA from 1 species